AGGGAUUGUUGCAUGGCCAUUCCCCCCGAGGGGAGAUUUCUUUAUUUCCCUCUCUCUGUCUCACUCUCCCGUAAGCAUACGUGCUCUAUGGCAAAACAUCUUAAAAAAAAAAAAAACACAUAGUAUUUAGGAAUACACUCUCCCUCUGACCACUGUCGAAAAUAGUAAAACACUGAGAGUAAGAUCCCUUAGGCUAGACAGCAGAUUGCAAAGGGCAAAGGACAGUGGAUACUGUGAGACUUCCAAUAAAUACGUGUCUUUAAACAUGUUUUCUAAUAUGUACAUUUUUGCUGAUUCUUAGUAAUGCUAAUGCCUUGUCUAUUAUUUGUUAUAUUUUACUCCUGUUAAGCUGCAAACUGUUAAGCCAAGGGUGGAUGAUGAACAUUUCCAUGUGCUUAGUGCUAACCACACCAUCCUAUGUACAAUUCAUUUUAAUAAAUCCAAGUUAAGGACUUCGAGGAGCGGAUAUAGUAAUUGUUUAUUUUAACCGAUUAUCAUGGACAUAUGCAAAGCUCCACCAGAAAGAGAGCAUGCAGCAAACGUACACACUGUUUAGAGGUGUGGUUCCUUUAUUCUAGAUGUUCCACAAUCUAGCAUUAUUUAACCACAAAAUUCUUCUGUCUUUUGCUCAAUCCAGAUUAUUCUCGAAAACCGUCAAGAACCCCAGCAUCCCUAGCUCUGGGCACAAGACCUCUAUAAAGAGUCCGGUGACAGAUUACGAUGGGUGGAGGGCUGAGAGUCCUCCUGCAUCACUUGCUGUCUCUUCAUGAGAGGGACUUAUCUGCCACUCAUUCUGUCUUUGCCACGAGGCAGUUCAGCAGUUACUAAAAAAAUGUGCUGUUAUACAUUACCUCCAAAUAUUUCUAUUUUAAUUAGACAGUUUAUAAUUUAAAGUGUGAUCAUACAGGUAGAAGCCAGGUAGAAGUUCAUAGCCAAGUAAUUGGGGGUGGGGAGCAGAGUGACAAACUUUAGAGUACUCAGAUGUUAAACAUGUGAAAAAAAAAAGUAAGUUAUCAGAAAUUUGAGUUAUGAGACGUUCAUCGUAGAUUGAAUUCAAUAGUUAUUUCCUGAUAUCUGCUCGUAGAUCAGUUGAGACCAGUUGUUAAAACUUUUCACUGUUGAAGCUUCCGUUGUAGAAUCUAGAGUAUUGGCUCAUGCUUUGCUUAUGUGUCAACAAAGACAGCAUUGUAAAGCUUCCUUUUUAUAUAACUGAUGGCACAGGUAGAAUCACACUGAAGAAAAAUAGUUUGAAGCAUUUCUAAAUAAAAAUGAAAAUUUCCAAUGCAGUUGUAGUUAGAAUGCAAAUAAAAGUGUUUUAAAGCAUUAAAAACAAAAGCAAAGGAGACUAGUAUAUGAAAGGAAAUACUUUAAAUUAAGAAAAGGCAUUAUAUUUUAUUACAUCAUGCAUCAUGCUUUCUGAUAUGUGUACUCUUACUGAAAGUAAGGAGGCAGAACUUAAGUGACGAAAUGAACAUUUGGAGUCUUGUAAAGUUAGGAAAAUUGUAGGCCCUUUUCCAUUUUUGUCCCAGUGGAAGUGGAUGGUUGUAUUCUCAUCUAUUACUAUCCUAAGUACUUUUUACUAUCUUGGGUUCCGUUCAUGUUCCAAUUCGUGGACAUUGUUUUACUCUGAAUUCUUAGAAUUUUUACAUUUUUCAGAGAAGAAAUGCCCCUUUUUAGUUUUUUUUAGAUGUUUAUGUGUUUAUUUCAUGAGAGAGACAGGUGCCAUGGAUAAGGUUUCAUCAUGCCAUAAUCUUUCCCCCAGCCCCCCAGCACCCAAGGUCAUAGGCACUCCUGGGCACAGCCAGAGUGUUCAGGUCAACCUGGGAUCCGAAUGCAGGCCUCCCAUUGGCUCUGGUAUCACGUAGUGGUGCCUUACUGCCUGUGCCACCACAGCUGGGGCCCCUUGUAGAAUUUCAAAAGAUGCCGUAAUAGAUGAAUGGCUGACUUCCCAUUUUAGAGUGCCCAAAGGAAACUGAAUUAGAUAAACAUAGUCACGGCUACAACUGAGAGGGGGUGUUAACUGACUAGUAGUUUCCAAAUGCCAACACGAGUACUAGUGAGUAUUCAAUUGAAAAUAGACAGUUCCACAAAAAUAAACUACAGGGUGAUUCAACAUUCUUGCUUCUUGAAGAGUUGUCUAAGCCAUAUAAAGCAAAGGGUUCUGUUGAUAACAACAAUUUUAAAAAUCCUAUAGAUAUGAUAGAUUCGGCAUCUCUAAGCUAAGAUAAUGUUAUUUCUUGUGUAAGUUUUAAAUUCUGAUCUCUGUAAGGACAAACGGUGACUGCUUAGUGUAAUAAUGAGGAAGUAUAACUCCUGCUGUAUGGAGAAAAGCUAGAACCAUGGAACAUUAAGCAAAAGUUUUUCUUAUUUAGGUUCCAAGACUACAACCAAAUAGUAUGUAUUUACCUUCUUUUUUUAAAAAAUUUUUAAUAUUCUUUCAUAGUGCACAUGUGCUCACUGGAGAGAGAGAGGAAUAUUGAGAGAUCAUCCUUCGGGGUGAUGGACAUGACACAGUUUCUUCUCCUCUAGUCUCUUCUUGGCAUUUUGGGCUCAUAUGAACACUUACCCAGCAUGAUUUUUUGAACUGUUGGAUCCAGGACUCGAACUGUGGUUGGCCCUAUGGGAGUCCAGCACAUCAACCUGCUAGCCCCUGUAUUUUUUCAUCUCAGGUGUAUAUACUGAAAGUAGAAUAAUAGAACAGUGGACAAAACCCAUAACUUUCCCUUCUGUUCUAGAAAGCAUUGUUUAUGCUUUUAAAAAUAUACAUGUUCACGUGAAAACAUUCUCAUCUUUCAGUUAUUUUUCAGUUACUAAAGCAAAUGGUUUUGACUUAGAGCACUUACACAACCUCACAUCUGGUUCUAGCAUUCUAUUUAAUGAUGUCUCAACAUCUUCUGGGCAGCCCGGAAAAACAAAUCGAAAACAAAGAAGAAGAAAUUGUAGUAGGUUCAGACAAAUGAUUCCUCUGACAAGCCUGGAAAAUAAUAGUUAAACGGUAACUCCCAAAGGCUCCCAAAGUGAAAGCAAACUGUUUGAAGUGUUCUUUUAAUACAAGCAUAAUCGCAUUUAUAACAGAUUGCCCUGCCUGAUGAACGGGUUUCAGCGGUAAAGUCACUGAUUUUUUUUUUUUGCAUCUGCUUGUAUGUUUUAUUCUCUCUGUUGUUACUUUUUCCUGAGCACUUACCAUGUCCCAGACAGUGACUGGUGAAAUGAAUGGCUCUAAUGGUGGUCUUGAGCACUGUCACUGCCCACUUGGGCAUACAGUCUGCUGGGGCCCUCACCAAUGGGUUGAAAAUUGGCAUCUUCCCUGAUUUCCUUCAGUGGGCUCAGGUUUGUACAGACAGGGCAGAACCACAGUCAUUAUUUUCUCCACAUAAAGGAGAGUGAUUGGUAGGAGGUGAUUGGAAAUGUCUUGCCCACAUCCAAGCUAACUGCAUCUAAUAAUUCCUCCUUUUUACUAGGUCACCCGAGGAUGGAAUGGAGUUGCGAGUCAGUAGAUGUCUCUGGGGACCUGGACGGGGGCCAGGGGAGAGGGAGGGCUUUCACAGUUGGGUGCCAGUGGAAGCCCCCACCUGGGUGAGACAGUGGCUA